CGAUCAGUGUCCACUGCAGCCCCUUCAUUUCGGUUGCCUGGGAUUUGACUGUCAAUAUGGAGCAGAUGCUUCACCUCUUUAAAUGAUGAAGGGUGACCGCAGUCAGCCAAUCACAACAGACCUGAACAGGACAGCGGAGAGCAGGACAACUAGAGCCCCAGAUACAGAUCCCCUGUAAAGACCUUGUCUCAGAGGACCACCAGGACAAGACCACAGGAAACAGAUGAUUCUUCUGCACAAUCUGACUUUGCUGCAGCCUGGAAUUGAACUACUGGUUUUCGUCUGGUCAGAGGAGAACUGGCCCCCCAACUGAGCCUGGUUUCUCCCAAGGUUUUUUUCUCCAUUCUGUCACCGAUGGAGUUUCGGUUCCUUGCCGGUGUCGCCUCUGGCUUACU